CAGCCGCCGCGGUAAUACGAAGGGGGCUAGCGUUGCUCGGAAUGACUGGGCGUAAAGGGCGCGUAGGCGGCGGCCAAAGUCAGGCGUGAAAUUCCCGGGCUCAACCUGGGGGCUGCGUUUGAUACUUGGUUGCUUGAGUGGGGAAGAGGGUCGUGGAAUUCCCAGUGUAGAGGUGAAAUUCGUAGAUAUUGGGAAGAACACCGGUGGCGAAGGCGGCGACCUGGUCCUUUACUGACGCUGAGGCGCGAAAGCGUGGGGAGCAAACAGGAUUAGAUACCCGAGUAGUCCCUGUCUCUUAUAC
rnacentral:rRNA from 1 species